UUAAUAAAGGUAUUCUUGAACACCUUUUUUAAUUCAUUAUAGAUGAGUAACACUCCAAAGAAGAUUAAAUAAAGCCUCUGGACUGAGAGACACACCAUUCAUUUAACGCACUUUGUUUCCUGCCAUGAACCGACAGAACCUGGGCAUUGUGGCUGUGAGAACAGAAUGCUGGACUAGGUGGGCCAUUGACCUGGUCCAGAAGGCUGAUCUGAUGUUCUUAUGAGGAAAGAUGGAUCUGAUUCCCAGAUCCAGGAAGCCCACUCUUCUCCCCUGGCCCUAGGAGGACCCACUUGCCAAUUGCAAAGAAGGUGUCAAGUGGGCUGGGCUGGAGAGAGAGCACAAUUCAGGGCUUGGUCUUGGUGUGCUGGUGGCUGGGAUGGAGGCUCUGACAUGCUGCUGUGUGCUUCCCCACCACAGGAAAUUAUCAAAGCGGAGCCGGCGGUGCCGUUUUCAACUUACCUCCUCCGCCAGGCGAUGGAGACCGUCGCGCAGAUGACUGCCUUGAGACCACCCAUGAACAGCUGUUGAAGACCACCAUCAAAAAGGUCUUCGCUUUGCCCUUGACGGGCAAAGCGACACAGAGCCAGGACUUCUACCAGCAGACGGUAAAUGCAUGCAUAAACAUGCUGAGCGGCUUGCUGUCAGAGGCCCCCUCCCUGAAGACCCUGCAGCAGAUAUUGGAGG